rnacentral:lncRNA from 1 species
AAGGCGUGGCCGGGUGUCGUGAGGCGGGCCUUCGGGCUGGCUCGCCGUCGGCUGCCGGGGGGUUGGCCGGGGUGUCAUUGGCUCUGGGAAGCGGCAGCAGAGGCAGGGACCACUCGGGGUCUGGUGUCGGCACAGCCAUGGCGGGCGCGUUGGUGCGGAAAGCGGCGGACUAUGUCCGAAGCAAGGAUUUCCGGGACUACCUCAUGAGUUAGAAUAACUCUUCAGGCUCUGUUUAUAGCCCUGGGUUCAUGCAUGAUAAAGUAGACAGCAACACCACCAUACAGUGCAGAGGAGUGGCAAGAGAGUAAACGGAAAAGGAGAUGAAAAUAGACCAAGUGGAGAAAGGCCUGGUCAAAAAAGGAGGAAAAGGAAGAUCACUAUGGAAUAAUAGAGAGUUGAAAAAUGAAGUGACACCCAAUAACAGGACGGGUAAGAAAAGAACACUUCUGGGGCCCAGUAGCCAACUGGGGUCUUCCCAUUGCUGCCAUCAAUGAUAUGAAAAAGUCUCCAGAGAUUAUCAGUGGGCGGAUGACAUUUGCCCUCUGUUGCUAUUCUUUGACAUUCAUGAGAUUUGCCUACAAGGUACAGCCUCGGAACUGGCUUCUGUUUGCAUGCCACGCAACAAAUGAAGUAGCCCAGCUCAUCCAGGGAGGGCGGCUUAUCAAACACGAGAUGACUAAAACGGCAUCUGCAUAACAAUGGAAAAGGAAGAACAAGGUCUUGAAGGGACAGCAUUGCCAGCUGCUGCUGAGUCACAGAUUUCAUUAUAAAUAGCCUCCCUAAGGAAAAUACACUGAAUGCUAUUUUUACUAACCAUUCUAUUUUUAUAGAAAUAGCUGAGAGUUUCUAAACCAACUCUCUGCUGCCUUACAAGUAUUAAAUAUUUUACUUCUUUCCAUAAAGAGUAGCUCAAAAUAUGCAAUUAAUUUAAUAAUUUCUGAUGAUGGUUUUAUCUGCAGUAAUAUGUAUAUCAUCUAUUAGAAUUUACUUAAUGAAAAACUGAAGAGAACAAAAUUUGUAACCACUAGCACUUAAGUACUCCUGAUUCUUAACAUUGUCUUUAAUGACCACAAGACAACCAACAGCUGGCCACGUACUUAAAAUUUUGUCCCCACUGUUUAAAAAUGUUACCUGUGUAUUUCCAUGCAGUGUAUAUAUUGAGAUGCUGUAACUUAAUGGCAAUAAAUGAUUUAAAUAUUUGUUAA